GGAGGGGUGGCAGAGCGGUUUAAUGCACCGGACUGUAAAUCCGGCGUCCGACCGGGCAUCGCUGGUUCAAAUCCAGCCCCCUCCACCA
rnacentral:tRNA from 8 species